AGCGAACGCUGGCGGCAGGCCUAAUACAUGCAAGUCGAACGAAGCCUUCGGGCUUAGUGGCGGACGGGUGAGUAACACGUGGGAACGUACCCUUUGGUUCGGGACAACUCAGGGAAACUUGAGCUAAUACCGAAUGUGCCCCCAUCCUUAACAAGAUGGGUGGGAAAGAUUUAUCGCCAUUGGAGCGGCCCGCGUCUGAUUAGCUAGUUGGUGAGGUAAAGGCCCACCAAGGCUACGAUCAGUAGCUGGUCUGAGAGGAUGAUCAGCCACACUGGGACUGAGACACGGCCCAGACUCCUACGGGAGGCAGCAGUAGGGAAUCUUGCGCAAUGGGCGAAAGCCUGACGCAGCCAUGCCCG
rnacentral:rRNA from 1 species